UACGUAGGUGGCAAGCGUUGUCCGGAUUUACUGGGCGUAAAGGGCGUGCAGGCGGUCUGUUAAGUGCAGGGUGAAAGCUCCCGGCUCAACUGGGAGAGGUCCUUGCAUACUGGCGGACUUGAGGGGGGUAGAGGAAAGUGGAAUUCCCGGUGUAGUGGUGAUAUGCGUAGAUAUCGGGAGGAACACCUGUGGCGAAGGCGGCUUUCUGGGCCCUACCUGACGCUGAGACGCGGAAAGCGUGGGGAGCAAACAGG
rnacentral:rRNA from 1 species